rnacentral:rRNA from 1 species
CACGUAGGGGGCGAGCGUUGUCCGGAGUUACUGGGCGUAAAGGGCAUGCAGGCGGUCCGACACGUUUUGUGUGACAGCGGGUGGCUUAACUACCCGAGGAUACGAAAGACGGUUGGACUUGAGGACUCGAGAGGGACACGGAAUUCCGGGUGGAGUGGUGAAAUGCGUAGAGAUCCGGAGGAACACCGAAGGCGAAGGCAGUGUCCUGGCGAGUGACUGACGCUGAGGUGCGAAAGCCAGGGGAGCGAACGGG